GACGAACGCUGGCGGCGUGCUUACCACAUGCAAGUCGAACGCUGAAGCUCAGCUUUUGUUGGGUGGAUGAGUGGCGAACGGGUGAGUAACACGUGAGUAACCUGCCUCCUUCUUUGGGAUAACGCCCGGAAACGGGUGCUAAUACUGGAUAUUCACUGGUCUUCGCAUGGGGGUUGGUGGAAAGGGUUUUUCUGGUGGUGGAUGGGCUCGCGGCCUAUCAGCUUGUUGGUGGGGUGAUGGCCUACCAAGGCUUGGACGGGUGGCCGACCUGAGAGGGUGACCGGUCACAGUGGGACUGAGAUACGGCCCAGACUCCUACGCGAGGAAGCAGUGGGGAAUAUUGCACAAUGGGCGCAAGCCUGAUGCAGCGACGCGGCGUGAGGGAUGGAGGCCUUCGGGUUGUGAACCUCUUUCGCUCAUGGUCGAGCCGCAACAAUGGUUGUGGUGAGGGUAGUGGGUAAAGAAGCGCCGGCUAACUACGUG
rnacentral:rRNA from 1 species